CUCUCUGGAGAUCUCUGCCUGCCUGAGGCCUUCUAAAGGCAGCAAAGGAAAGUGUUUCUCCUGUCUAGAGGGUUCCCUGAUACGUCACAAGGGUUACAGAUUGUCUGGAAGAGAGAAUGGUGUUGAAAUGCUGGGGCAUAACCUGCCCAAUCCUGUUUAUAUAAAACACCAUCAUUAGCUGCAUCUAAUCUCUGUUGCUGCUGGUCUAAAUGGCUCAGUGCUUCACCCUACUGCAAGAGUCUGCUUUUCCUCAAAGGUGGUGUGCCAACAUCUUCGUUAUUUCAGGAGCAAUUCUGCAUGAGCUGGGAGUGCUGUGCCUCAGCCUGUUUGGAUAUAUUCCAGUUCUUAAAAUCAUUCCAAGUUCAGAGCCUCAGUAACACUGUGAGGUCAUGGGACCCCGCAUCUGUCCUUCUGUAUGUAAUUGCCGUAGCUGAAGGGACUAGAUUUAACUUCUGUUCAGGAACUAAUAUGGCUUUAAAUCAUGAAUUUUGUUUGUUCCAUUUUAAUGUAGCCUCUCUGCCACUUAUCAGAUCUGACUCCUGUGCAUACAGCCAUUCCAUUUUGCUACUUAAUUGUAUUAACAAUUUCUUCCUAGAUGAAUUGAUGACUUGGAGACAUUCAACUGGGUAUUUAUCCUGUCAGCUGAGAUGCUUGAUUUUUUUUUUCAAGUGUUGAAGUUGUGUAAACUCACUGUAGUUUGCACAGCUAUCAGAAGGCACGGUAUGAAAUGACAGUCUAUAGAAUCACAGUGAGAGGUAUAAUUUGAUGUGAUACUUGAAGAGCUACAAGCUAUGAUAAGUUUAUUUCUGUAUUUCGAAGGGUGUUUAUAGAGAUUAAGGAAAGAAAGCUUAAAGUGAAAUGAUUGGCAUGGAAAUAACAAAAGCAAAGGAACUUUGCUGUGCCACAGUAACAGAUUUGGCAAUCACGUUUUGUAUGGAAUGGCCUAUUUCAAACUUUAAUCUGCUGUAUAAAUCAAGAUAGAAAAAUAACACUUUUGCUGAUGAUAGAGCAAGGCCACCAGCUGGGCCAGUGCUGCUUUAGUCUUUAAAUGACUGUCUAUGUUUGUCGUUAACAUUCUGAAUAGCUAUUUACUGAAAUCUUUAAAGAUAUUUGGUAUCUCUAUUUGACAACUGAGAGAUACUUGGCAUAUCUGCUGCUGUUUUCUCAUCUGUGCUUUUAAAAUAUGUAUUGAUAUUUUUAUUCUAUUUAAGACAAGAUCAUUUAAUCCAAAUCCAUCAUAAAUAGUAUUACUGCAGUCUCAAUCAUCUUGGAUAUAAGAAGCAAGCCUCACCUCCUCCUAUAAAUUGGAGCUUUCUUAUACAUCUGUUAAAUGCCUCGCUUUGCUUCCAUCAAACUGUUUAUUAUCUUGGCAGUUGAAAUAAUUUGAGAUUGUACUUUUCAGAAUAAUAUAUCUCUGAUUAUUUUAAGAGGAU
ensembl:lncRNA